AUCGGGCAGGCCGCGGGCGGAAGUGAGAACGCGCGGCGCGGCUCUUCUUAUACUUCUGGGGACCGGCCGUUUCACUUGUUGUCGUCGGCGUCGACGGAGGCCGGGAGACCCUCCUCGCCGUCGCCGCGGCUAUUCUUGACGAGGCCCGCGGCCAUGGCGGAGACAGCAGCGACGACGUCCUUGAGGAUCUUCUCCUUGAUCUGGCCCCUCCGCGGCGGCGGCGGCAGGCCCGCCCUGCUGCCGCCUCUGGUGGCGGCGCGCCCAGCUACUGCCGGCAUGGCCGGCGCCGGAACCUGGAUGGUCUCGGUGGCCAUCAGCGAGGCAGCUGGGGACUGGGUGGUGGACGACAAGAGGAGGAGAGGGGACACUGUUGGAUUUGAUUGCA
rnacentral:misc_RNA from 1 species